rnacentral:rRNA from 1 species
UACGGGGGGAGCAAGCGUUGUUCGGAUUUACUGGGCGUAAAGGGCGCGUAGGCGGCACUGCAAGUCAGUUGUGAAAUCUCCGGGCUUAACCCGGAAAGGUCAACUGAUACUGCAGGGCUAGAGUGCAGAAGGGGCAACUGGAAUUCUCGGUGUAGCGGUGAAAUGCGUAGAUAUCGAGAGGAACACCUGCGGCGAAGGCGGGUUGCUGGGCUGACACUGACGCUGAGGCGCGAAAGCCAGGGGAGCAAACAGG